GGGGCGCAAGCCCUGAGUAGAGUGGCGAACGGGUGAGUAACGCGUGGGUGACCUGCCUUCGAGUGGGGGAUAACGUCUCGAAAGGGACGCUAAUACCGCAUGACAUCCUGUCUGUAAUGAGAUGGAGAUCAAAGCUGGGGAUCGCAAGACCUGGCGCUUGAAGAGGGGCCCGCGUCCGAUUAGCUGGUUGGUGGGGUAAUGGCCUACCAAGGCGACGAUCGGUAGCCGGCCUAAGAGGGCGGACGGCCACACUGGGACUGAGACACGGCCCAGACUCCUACGGGAGGCAGCAGUGGGGAAUUGUUCGCAAUGGGCGCAAGCCUGACGACGCAACGCCGCGUGGAGGACGACGGCUUUCGGGUCGUAAACUCCUGUCGUGCGGGACGAACGGCUGAGGGGUGAAGAGCCCUUUGGACUGACGGUACCGCGAAAGGAAGCCCCGGCUAACUCCGUGCCAGCAGCCGCGGUAAUACGGGGGGGGCAAGCGUUGUUCGGAAUUACUGGGCGUAAAGGGCUCGUAGGCGGCCCCUUAAGUCAGACGUGAAAGCCCUCGGCUUAACCGGGGAACGGCGUCUGAGACUGAAGGGCUUGAAUCCGGGAGAGGGAUGCGGAAUUCCAGGUGUAGCGGUGAAAUGCGUAGAUAUCUGGAGGAACACCGGUGGCGAAGGCGGCAUCCUGGACCGGUAUUGACGCUGAGGAGCGAAAGCCAGGGGAGCAAACGGGAUUAGAUACCCCGGUAGUCCUGGCCCU
rnacentral:rRNA from 1 species